rnacentral:rRNA from 1 species
GUCCACGCCCUAAACGAUGUCAACUGGGUGUUGGGGGAGCGAUUCCUCAGUACCGUAGCUAACGCGUGAAGUUGACCGCCUGGGGAGUACGGCCGCAAGGUUAAAACUCAAAGGAAUUGACGGGGACCCGCACAAGCGGUGGAUGAUGUGGAUUAAUUCGAUGCAACGCGAACAACCUUACCUACCCUUGACAUGUCCGGAAGCCUGCUGAGAGGUGGGUGUGCCCGAAAGGGAAUCGGAACACAGGUGCUGCAUGGCUGUCGU